rnacentral:rRNA from 1 species
GAAGGUGGCAAGCGUUGUUCGGAAUCACUGGGCUUAAAGCGCGCGUAGGCGGAAAUACAAGUGUCAUGUGAAAUCCCUCGGCUUAACCGAGGAAUUGCUUGGCAAACUGUAUUUCUUGAGGCAAGUAGGGGUACAUGGAACUCUUGGUGGAGCGGUGGAAUGCGUAGAUAUCAAGAGGAACGCCAAUGGUGAAGACAGUGUACUGAGCUUGUCCUGACGCUGAGGUGCGAAAGCGUGGGGGGAGCGAACGGGAUUAGAUACCCCGGUAGUCCACGCCGUAAACGAUGUCUACUAGGUCGUGGGAGUUCUGACACUAUCACGGCCGGAGCAAAAGUGUUAAGUAGACCGCCUGGGAGUACGGCCGCAAGGCUA